rnacentral:rRNA from 1 species
UUAAAGGGCUGCAGUAUAUUGACUGUACAAAGGUAGCAUAAUAAUUAGUCUUUUAAUUGAAGACUUGUAUGAAAGAUUUGAUGAGAUAUAGACUGUCUCUUUUUUAUAGUUAGAACUUAAUUUUUUAGUAAAAAAGCUAAAAUUUUUUUAAAAGACGAGAAGACCCUAUAGAGUUUUAUAAUUAAGUUUAAUUAUAUAUUUAUAUUUAAAUUUAAAAUUAAUUAAUUUAAUUAUUUUAUUGGGGUGAUAGAAAAAUUAAAAUAACUUUUUUUAAAUUUAAACAUUAAUUAAUGAUUAUAUGAUCCAUAAUUUAUGAUUAUAAGAAAAAAUUACCUUAGGGAUAACAGCGUAAUUUUUUUUUUUAGUUCUUAUAAAAAAAAAAGUUUGCGACCUCGAUGUUGGAUUAAAAUAAAAUUUAAAUGCAAAAGUUUAAAAUUU